rnacentral:rRNA from 1 species
AGCGCUGCUGAGGCCUAACACAUGCAAGUCGAACGGUAACAGGAAGAAGCUUUCUUCUUUGCUGACGAGUGGCGGACGGGUGAGUAAUGUCUGGGAAACUGCCUGAUGGAGGGGGAUAACUACUGGAAACGGUAGCUAAUACCGCAUAACGUCGCAAGACCAAAGAGGGGGACCUUCGGGCCUCCUGCCAUCGGAUGUGCCCAGAUGGGAUUAGCUAGUAGGUGGGGUAACGGCUCACCUAGGCGACGAUCCCUAGCUGGUCUGAGAGGAUGACCAGCCACACUGGAACUGAGACACGGUCCAGACUCCUACGGGAGGCAGCAGUGGGGAAUAUUGCACAAUGGGCGCAAGCCUGAUGCAGCCAUGCCGCGUGUAUGAAGAAGGCCUUCGGGUUGUAAAGUACUUUCAGCGGGGAGGAAGGGAGUAAAGUUAAUACCUUUGCUCAUUGACGUUACCCGCAGAAGAAGCACCGGCUAACUCCGUGCCAGCAGCCGCGGUAAUACGGAGGGUGCAAGCGUUAAUCGGAAUUACUGGGCGUAAAGCGCACGCAGGCGGUUUGUUAAGUCAGAUGUGAAAUCCCCGGGCUCAACCUGGGAACUGCAUCUGAUACUGGCAAGCUUGAGUCUCGUAGAGGGGGGUAGAAUUCCAGGUGUAGCGGUGAAAUGCGUAGAGAUCUGGAGGAAUACCGGUGGCGAAGGCGGCCCCCUGAACGAAGACUGACGCUCAGGUGCGAAAGCGUGGGGAGCAAACAGGAUUAUAUACGCUGAUAGUCCACACCGUAAACGAUGUCGACUUGUAGGUUGUGCCCAUUGAGGCCUGGCUUCCGGAGUAAACGCGCUAAGUCGACCGACCUGGGGGAGUACGGCCGCUAUGUUUAUAACCUCGA